rnacentral:rRNA from 1 species
GACGAACGCUGGCGGCGUGCCUAACACAUGCAAGUCGAACGAACCGUGCCUAGUUGCUUGCGGUCGGGGAAGGAACACGGGGUAAGGGGCAGUUGGGUGCGGAAAACCUCACUGAAAGUUGGGUUUAAAAGUCUGGUGCUCUUCCUGGGAAAGAAUUAUAGAUAUUAGAGCGGGCCGCGUCUGAUUAGGUUGUUGGUGAGGUAAGCGCUCACCAAGGCGACGAUUGGUAGCUGGUGUGAGAGGAUGACCAGCCACACUGGGACUGAGACACGGCCCAGACUCCUACGGGAGGCAGCAGUGGGGAAUCUUGCGCAAUGGGCGAAAGGAUGACGCAGCCAUGCCGCGUGAAUGAUGAAGGUCUUAGGAUUGUAAAAUUCUUUCACCGGGGACGAUAAUGACGGUACCCGGAGAAGAAGCCCCGGCUAACUUCGUG